rnacentral:rRNA from 1 species
UACGUAGGGGGCAAGCGUUACCCGGAUUUACUGGGUGUAAAGGGAGCGUAGACGGCAUGGCAAGCCAGAUGUGAAAUACCGGGGCUCAACCCCGGGACUGCAUUUGGAACUGUUAAGCUGGAGUGUCGGAGAGGCAGGCGGAAUUCCUAGUGUGGCGGUGAAAUGCGUAGAUAUUAGGAGGAACACCAGUGGCGAAGGCGGCCUGCUGGACGAUAACUGACGUUGAGGCUCGAAAGCGUGGGGAGCAAACAGG